rnacentral:rRNA from 1 species
CUACCAUGCAGUCGAACGGCAGCACAGGGAGAGCUUGCUCCUUGGGUGGCGAGUGGCGGACGGGUGAGGAAUACAUCGGAAUCUACUUUUUCGUGGGGGAUAACGUAGGGAAACUUACGCUAAUACCGCAUACGACCUACGGGUGAAAGCAGGGGACCUUCGGGCCUUGCGCGAUUGAAUGAGCCGAUGUCGGAUUAGCUAGUUGGCGGGGUAAAGGCCCACCAAGGCGACGAUCCGUAGCUGGUCUGAGAGGAUGAUCAGCCACACUGGAACUGAGACACGGUCCAGACUCCUACGGGAGGCAGCAGUGGGGAAUAUUGGACAAUGGGCGCAAGCCUGAUCCAGCCAUACCGCGUGGGUGAAGAAGGCCUUCGGGUUGUAAAGCCCUUUUGUUGGGAAAGAAAUCCAGCUGGCUAAUACCCGGUUGGGAUGACGGUACCCAAAGAAUAAGCACCGGCUAACUUCGUGCCAGCAGCCGCGGUAAUACGAAGGGUGCAAGCGUUACUCGGAAUUACUGGGCGUAAAGCGUGCGUAGGUGGUCGUUUAAGUCCGUUGUGAAAGCCCUGGGCUCAACCUGGGAACUGCAGUGGAUACUGGGCGACUAGAGUGUGGUAGAGGGUAGCGGAAUUCCUGGUGUAGCAGUGAAAUGCGUAGAGAUCAGAGGAACAUCCAUGGCGAAAGCAGCUACCUGGACCAACACUGACACUGAGGCACGAAAGCGUGGGGAGCAAACAGAUUAGAUACCCUGGUAGUCCACGCCCUAACGAUGCGAACUGGAUGUUGGGUGCAAUUUGGCACGCAGUAUCGAAGCUACGCGUUAAGUUCGCCGCCUGGGGAGUA